rnacentral:lncRNA from 1 species
GGAGAUGCUGCCUACUGCAGUGUGGAGAAUGGAUUGGAGGGGUCAGAAUGAAUGUAGAGAGAAUUCAAAGGCUCCUGCAGGAGUCCAAGCAAGAGGAUUGCAGAUUGUAGCCUGGAAGAGGCCAGUAGCUGUGGUGACAAUGGACACCAGGUGGAUAUGUUGGAGAGACACUUAGAAGGGUCUCACUCUGUCACCCAGACUGGAGUACACUGGUGUGAUCUCGGCUCACUGCAACCUCCGCCUCCCAGGCUCAAGUGAUUCUCCUGCCUCAGCCUCUCGAGUAGCUGGAAUUACAAGCAUGUGCCACUACCACCCUGCUAAUUUUUGUAUUUUUAGUAGAGAUGCGGUUUCACCAUGUUGGCCAGGCUGGCCUUGAACUCAUGACCUUAAAUGAUCCACCCGCCUCAGCCUCCCAAGUGCUGGGAUUUUAGGUGUGAGCCACUCGCCUGGCAGACUGUCUUCUGAAAAGGACUUUUGGGAGUGAAAUAACAUCAGCUCUAAGUGACUCAUGUGCCUAUAUCCACCUGGUUGGUGGUGAAGAGGAGUUGAAAGGAAUGAAGGAUUCUAGGACAGAAGGUUCCUAUUGAGAAGACACUUUCGGCUAUAACCACUGUUACGUGUGUGUAAUUUAUUCAACACUACUGUGUAUAUAACGGACAAACAAAUCAUAUUUAAAACAUCAUCUAGUCUUUUUAGAUGUUUAGAAGUGCACAAAGUAUGUUAAAAGUAGAGGUAAAUAACACAUUUUGUAGAUAUCCUUUUGAUGUGAAAUAUUGUCUUUUGGAAAUUGAGCAAACCAAUUCCCUGAGCCGUACACAUUAUUAUAUCUGUGUCAGUUUGGGGAGGAAGGAGGAGCAGAAAGUACAAAGGGCUUUUCACCAGUGUGUUUAUGGUGAGGCACAUUGACUAUUAUCUUUUUUUUUUUUUUUUUGAGACGACGUCUCGCUCUGUCACCAAGCUGGGGUGCAGUGGCGCAAUCUUGGCUCUCUGCAACCUCUGCCUCCUGUAUUCAAGCGAUUCUCCUGCCUCAGCCUCCAGAGUACCUGGGACUACAGGUGUGCACCACCACACCCAGCUAAUUUUUGUAUUUUUAGUAGAGAAGGAGUUUCACCAUGUUUGCCAGGAUGGUCUUGAUCUAAGUCUGCAUUUUCUUUGUGCUGUGUAGAUAGCGUACAUAAGAGGACAAACCAAUCCUAAUCUAUAUCAUCUAGUCUUUGUAGAUGUUAGAGAGGUCCAGUGCGUGACAAAAGUAGAUUUAGUGAAUUAAAACACUGAGUACGUUUUGUGUUAAAAUUCAUAGGGAAGACUGUUGUUAAAAACAUAGAAGUGUGAGCCACCGCACCUGGCCAAUAGUGGGUAUUAAAAGAUAAACAAGUCUUAAUGCUCAAAGUAUGUUAAAAAUAGAUGUAGUAAAACAAUCCGUCUACAAAUGUUCUUUUGUUAUAUUUUAGGAGGCCUGUCUUCUGGGAGUGACCUUUGUUAUUCCACCUCUUGGAGCUAGGCAUAGUCCUAUACCUAGUCACUGGGAUGGUGGAAGAGGGAGAAAAGGAAGGAUGAAGGAAAGAGCUAUUUGCUAGUAUCUCCACAUCUAGAAGAUGGUUUUAGAUGAUAACCAUAGGUCUACAUGAGCAUUUUUAGUAAAGUGCUUGUGUGUAAUUCUGGACAAAGUUUAUUAUUUUGCACUAUCUAAGCUUUAUGAAUGUCCUGGGGUGAUAAUGUGUGAUAAAAAGUAGAACUAGUGAAUUAGCCAAUUUGUAAAUUUUUUCUUGUUAUAAUUUAUAGAAAAGAUGCAACUUGGACAUGGAACUGUUAAACCAUCUCUGAGCUUUGUAUGCCAGGACUUGUUCAUUAGGUUGGCAGCAGAGCAGCAAAAGGAAGUAUAAAGAGAGAGAUGUAUGCAGAUGUGUCGAUAUUUACAUUUUGAUGAUAGCCAUUGUUGUAUGUGCAUCUCUUUUAGCUGUACUAUAGGAAUACAUUAGGUAUUUCAAUGAAAACAUACCUUGCUAAUAUUUGAAUAGUAUAGAUCUGCUAAUGGAUUCUCUUAGAAACAUUAUACUUAGUGUAUUCUAUUGCUGUAUAUUUCAUUUUAAAGUGAGCACUAAAGGAAUGCGGUAUUUUAAUAAAAACUCUGCCAACGCUUUUACUUAGAGGCGUGUUGCCAAUUUUUGUCUUUUAUGAAAAUUUGGCCCAAGAAAGGCAGGAUUACAUUGUUUUUCCAACAGAUUGAGUGGGUGUAGUGUAUUCUUGAUGAUCAAAAUACUCAUAUAGCUUUGAGAUUUUGAAUUGGUAAAUACUCAAGAUGUGUGAAAAAGCAUGAUACAUACUAUAUGAUCUCAGUCCCAUAAAAUUGACUAUUGUAUCUACACCCACACAGGACCUAGAAGGACAUGUUAAACUGUAAACUGCUUGUGAUUGUGGAUGACCUUUUUCGUUGCUUCUUGUGUUUUUCAGUUUCCUAUAAUGCACAUAGUAACUUAAAAAAAUAAAGAUUAUUUUUGAAACCUAAAAAAAAGAGGUUACAGAAUUGAAUACUCCCUGAGAUAAGGUAAAAUCAUCUUAUGCUAACGGUUGCAAGAUAAUGGUAUAAGUAAGCUUUCGUCGUACAUAUCAAUGAACUUUAAGAUUUGGAAGACAAAAUUCAGUUUAUGUAUUCAAUUAAAUGUGCUCAGAUUGUAUUGUGCUAGAUAGGCACAUUAUUCUAACAUAAUAUGAAUGAAUCAAUAAAAUCCUUAUAAUACUGAUG